rnacentral:lncRNA from 1 species
CUUAACCUAACCUGAUUUUCUAAGGUUUUUGGGGCCUAUAAAUACAUGUUUACACCCCUUGGCCAAAGGAUAAUUCCCCCAUAUUCAUCAUUUUAUCACAGAGAAAUUCGUCCAUACACACCCUAGGAAGCAAAACACCCCAAAAAAAACACCAUUCUAGUGCCUAGAAAACAUAACAGCCACUCCACCUUCUUCCACCCUCUUUGCCUAGUUCUCUACCACUCCCCAACCAUCAAACACUCUUCCACUCUCACCCUAAACCCUUCCACAAAAUUCCCCAUCCAUUCUACACCAUAAAUCCACCCAAAAAUCUGUCCACAAGCUUCAUGCCGCAAGCAAGGGAAAGGAGGAAUCUUGGAUGCACUUGCUACCAAGUUGGAGCAUUUUAGGUGUUUUCUUUCCUUUGAUUUUAAUGUCUAAUUUUAUUUAUCUUUGCUUUGUGAGUAUGAGGAACUAAACCCCUCUUAGUUAGGGGGUGAUUCGAAACCAUGUACAUGCUUGCAAUAUGAUUUGAUUACAUUCAGUUGUUAUUUCAUAAGUUGCGGAUUCAAUUCGUUCAUCUACUUGAUUGAUAACUUAUUUGUGUAUGUUCAUUGAGAGUGCACGCUUAGUUUUCAUGCAUGAAUAUGAUGCUAGAUUAUAAGGGAGUUUCACCUAAUAGUUACAAUCUUAUAAUCACAAGUAGUGAAGGUCGCUUGAAAACGAUCGCGUUGAAUGAAUUCUUGGCACUAGUUUCAUGCUCAUCAUAGUAACGAAUGCCUCGUCAACACUUAUAGUUCUCAUUGUGCUUCAUGAUUCUUGAUUGUAUCUUUAUUGUGCUCAUCACGUAAGGAACCUUUGAGGAAUGCUUUGAAUUGUUGUAUGCGCUUUUCCAUCCAAUUCAUUAACUUAAGGAGAACUUGAAGGUUAAUUUAAGCGUAUCUAAUUAACUUGGGGUGUUGAGUUUCAUAAUUUAUUGAAAGAACAACUGAAAAUCAUUUUGUUUGCAAGUGUGUCAUGUGUGGAGAAGAACCUCCUAACUAGCCUUUUAUCCAUCCUUUUCAUCCAAAAACGUUUUACAAUCUGUUUUGUUUUAAAGUUUCUGUUUUGUUUUCAAUUUUCGUCCAAAACAAGUCCCCCUUUAUUUUGAAGUCUUAGAUUAGUUAGAAAGUGUUUUGAUUUGUGUUUCUAAGUGUUUUGAUUCAAGUUUUCAUCCAACUUCGUCCAAGUUCUUGUUAGGUUCUCAAAACUGCCCAGAAAGUGGUUUUUAGGCAGUUUUGAGUCAUUAGGUUGCUGUUUUGAGUUUUAUGUUUGUUUAAGUAUUUUAAAGUAUAGUUUUGCAUUCUUUGAGUCUAGUUUAGUGUUUUAAAUUUUGUUUUUAUGUUUUUAAGUCAGUUUUCAAGUGUUUAGCAAUCCCUCCUAAUCCCCGGCCUAGAACGAUCCCUACUUACAUACUUUACUACAUUUGAUAAAAAGAGGGUUUAAUUUUGUGUGUUAACUUAUUUUACGCAUCAGUAUAAUACGUAGUUUGUGGCAUGGACCUUUGUCCGUCGGUAGUGUUUUUCGCUGGGGUUAUCAAUAUAUCUCAUAAUCACCCUUCUUCAAUCGUCUGGUAAUGCCUCAACAACACAAACCUCAAUAGUGUCCUUCCGUUCUAACAACGAAGUUAAGGACAUGACCCGUGUGUGGAUCACGCAAUCUCGUUGGAAAACACCUUGAUUUGCGUAAAUGCCUCUUGGUGUUCUGCACGCCAUUCGAAGAUGUUAGAAUCCUUAAGUUUCAAAAGCGUGGAGAAGGCUUUCAUUUUCCCAGCCGAAUUAGCAAUAAAUCGACGAAGAAAGUUAAUCUUGCCAAGCAACGAUUGUAGUGUUUCUUAGUCAUUAGGGAUAGAGCAUUGAUGAUUGCGCGAGCCUUGUUGUCGUCAACCUUAAUACCACGAUGUUGUACGAGGAAUCCUAAAAAAUUAUCGAUUGACACGCAGAAAGCACAUUUAGCGGGAUUCAUCUUAAGAUUGUGCCGGCAUAUACGUAGGAAAGCCCGAUGGAGGUCAUCCAAAUUUGUUUGCCGACGUUCUGAUUUGAUUACAACAUCGUCGAUGUAGACUUCGACGAUGGCACCAAUCAAAUCAUGGAAAAUAGUGUUCAUGGCUCGUUGGUAUAUGGCACCAGCAUUCUUCAAGCCGAAUGGCAUGACGACUCAUUCUUACGUGCCGAGUGCCCCCGGGCAACAAAAAGUGAUUUUGUGAACAUCGGCUUCGGCGAUAAAACUCUGGUUGUAGCCAGCAUGGCCGUCCAUGAAGGACAACAUUUCAUGAUUGGUUGUGACGUCCAUUAACAAAUCUGAGAUUGGCAUCGGGUAUUCAUCUUUGGGAGUCGCCAGAUUCAAAUUAUGAAAAUCGAUAUAGAUGCGUAAGGUGCCAUUUUUCUUUAGUACCAGGACCAUAUUGGCCAGCCACUCAACAUAUCGAGCGGUCUGAAUAAACCCAGCUUUUAAAAGUUGAACUAGUUCGUCUUUUAUGCCGAGUUGUACUUCAGUUAAGAAUCAGCGAGGAGGCUGGCGGAAAGGCUUACAAACCAGGUUUGAUGCGUAAUUCAUGUUCACCGAGGGUCCGAUCAAGGCCCGGCAUCUCACGAUAACAUCAAGCAAAACAACCUUUAAACUCAUUGAGUAAUUUACAGAGUUUGAUUUUCAUGGAGUGGGGUAACAAUGCACUUAUAAAUAACGGUCGAGGGCCAUCGGUCGUUCCAACAUUUAUUUCUUCUAAUGGGUCUUUAACUUGGGGCCGACUGUCUUUGAGUUCGGCCGGUGCGGCCUAAACUUUAUCUAUCGAUAAUACUGUGCCGUUAUCUUCCUCGUCCAAAAAUUUGAUUAAGUUUUUGCCCGAAUGUGGAUGCUUGGAAAUAGCAUAUUAAUGAGCCAGCAGACGUUCCAUAGUGGAUGAAACCACGGCCCGGUGCCUUUCUCUUUUGGCAUCAGUCAUUAGUGUUAGUAAUUAAGUCGGCCAAGCCGAGUCUUGCCGAAUCCUGGUGUACAGUCUCGGGCCUACCUCGAUGGCUUUCUGGACUAAGAUCCGAGUCAACCGUCCAUCUUCAUUAAAACCCUGCAGGGUAAUGUAGCCAACAUGAUCGUUGUAAUAGCGGGCCUCAUGUUAGUUUCGAAUGGCUGAUUAUCGGUUGGGUGGACCACAACCAAUUUGCUGUCCCAAAAAAUGAGAACUUGGUAUAAAGAAGAGAAAAUGCAAUUCGUUUGAUGAAUCUAAUCCCGACCCAGCAAAGCAUUAUACUUGGUCUUGGAGUCGAUGAUAAAAAAUAUGGUCAUGUGAUUACGACCUACAAUGUUUACCUCUAAAGGGAGCACUCCUUUGGUUUGAGAUUUGUCACCGACGAAGCUGUUCAUGGUUAUUCCUAAUGGGAUGAGUUCGUCGUUGGAUCAUCUUAAUGUCUUCAUCACGGAUAUGGCCAUGAUAUUGACCGUCGCCCCACAAUCGAUGAAAAUUUUGGAGAUUGGAUAACCUUUAAUAUAGGCCAUGACAUACAACGACUUUAAAUGUUGAAGCUUAGCCGAGGAUGAGUGGGGAAACAAUAUGGCUAGGGCUGUUUUAAGUUUAUCGUCGUUAUUUGCUUGCCUAUCUUCGGCAAUGGUGACGAAAUCAACUUGUGUUGCUUCCUCGACCACCAUAUCACCAUCUAAGAAAUUUGAUUGGUGUAUAGUUGGCUGGAAUUCAGCAGGUAGAACAUGAACCAUGCUGAUUUCCAUGUUCUCAAGGACUGAAGGGCCCAUCAAAUCCUGGUCGUCAUCUUCCGGGUUAUCGAGGACUACAGCAUCAUGCAUAGAGCAUUCUCAGCCUGAUUAUCGUGUGCCUCAACGGGUACUUGCUCUUGUGCCAUGUAACCCGACCUUGCUUCUUCCUGAUUGUUGUUUUCGAGCCUGUUUGUCUCUAGUGUCUGACUUUGUCCUUGCAAUGCUUUACCGGCUCGUUCUUCAUAGGCAAUCCAAGUGUCCCUUGUGUCUAGGUAGGCGUCCAGACGUGCCACCCAAUCUUUUUCAUCGGCCAUAAGACCGAAGAAAGAUACGACCGAAAAGACUUCGAAGUGGCGUCGUAAAUAUUGGAAGUCUUCAAGAGAAAAAGAAAGCUCGGCCAUAUCAAUGUCCGUGUAUGGAUCGACCUCGAAGCCAAGACCCUAGCUUCUCGUAAAUGCUGGAACCUAGCCUUUAUUGCUGGGUCGGUGGUUUUUUGGAUAAUCUGUUCAGCAUCAGGGCAAGUUAGUGCCAGGUCAAGGGCUUCUUGACAUGCCUUGGGCAAGCUAUACAAGUCAUUGACAUAAUGUUCCUUAUGAAAUUCUCGCAUGUUGAUAGGAGCAUAUUUAUGCGACUUAGUUGGCUUGUUCUUGUGCAUUUAUGUCGUGUUUCCUUAGUUAUUUUAAUGUUUAAAGUCAUUUUCGUGUGUUUUCAGACUCUAAGUACAAAGUAUGCAAGAAGAUGCAUUUUGGAGGCCUUUGGAGCAUGUUUCGGGCUUGGAAUGGAUAGCAAAUGCAUGGGCCAAGUGGAUGGACGAAUUUGAGAACUAAAGAGGCCAAGAAUAUGAAGAAUUAUGGUCCAAAAGAUGAAGAAAAUAGCCCAAAAAUCUGUCACCCCAACUUGCAUUCCUUGCCAUGCAAACCACAUAGAAUUCCCUUUGGAUUCCAUGCCAUGCUUGAUCACUCUUGUCCCCUACAUAAUUUCUAAUUUCAUGCUUCAAUUCAUUUAAUUAUUACACUCAAUUGCUUGAUACCUCUUGUUCCCUUCACUUAUUAGAUUUUAGACAACAUUUACAUCCAUUACAUGCACCAAUUGAUGCUCCAUCAUUCACAUUUGGAAUCCCAUGCCUUGUGUACCACAUGUUGCUGCACCUUUGACCCAUUUAUUGACACAUUUUCACCUCCAUUUCCAUCUCUAUGCAAUGUACACAAUCAUUCAUGCUCCCUAGCUUCAAGACCACUCCAUUUUACCCUUCACACUUUGCAUCAUCACUUCAUUUUCACCCUUGGACCAUUGCACACCACACACACAAAUUACCAUGCAUUUCAUCCUUAACCUAACCUGAUUUUCUAAGGUUUUUGGGGCCUAUAAAUACAUGUUUACACCCCUUGGCCAAAGAACAAUCCCCCAUAUUCAUCAUUUUAUCACAGAAAUUCGUCCAUACACACCCUAGGAAGCAAAACACCCCAAAAACACCAUUCUAGUGCCUAGAAAACAUAACAGCCACUCCACCUUCUUCCACCCUUUUUGCCUAGUUCUCCACCACCUUCCAACCAUCAAACACUCUUCCACACUCACCCUAAACCCCUCCAUAUCAUU